GGCUACUUGCAUCAUUGUAAAAAUGGUGCAAGAUCGACGAUGUCGAAUAAAAUUCUAGGUAGAAUUAUGAUGAUGACAUUGUCUAUCUAUGUGUCUUGACCAAAUUACGUGCCAGCAGUCGCGGUAAUACGUAUAAGGCUAGUGUUAUUCAUGUUUAAUCGGUUUAAAGGGUACCUAGACGGUAAAUCAAGCUUUAAAAAUACAGAUGUUAAUUUUAAUAUAUUAAUAUUAUUAAAAGGACUAAUUUACUAGAGUUACUAAUGGCGGGGCUUUAAAGUACUAUUGGUGGAGAGAUAAAAUUCUUAGAUACCUCUUAUGGCACAUAUAUAGGCGAAGGUAUCCCCUUAUGUGAUAACUGACGUUGAGGGACGAAGGCUUUGUGUAGCGAAUAGGAUUAGAGACCCUAGUAGUCGGAGCAGUAAAUGAUGAAUGUCAUAGAUUAGAUGUAUAAGUUUAUUCUAUAAAUGAAAGUGUAAACAUUCCACCUCAAGAGUAAUUUGGCAACAUUGGAACUGAAAUCAUUAGACCGUAUCUGAAACCAGUAGUGAAGUAUGUUGUUUAAUUUGAUAAUACGCAAAAAACCUUACCACAAUUUGAAUAUUUACAAUUUUAUUGCCUUUUUUAUAGACAAUAUAUUGUAUUUACAAGCGCUGCACGGCUGUCUUCAGUUAAUGUCGCGAGACUUUGGUUAGUUCCAUUAAAUUAACGUAAACCUUAUUAUUUUUAGAUAAAGUA
rnacentral:rRNA from 1 species